rnacentral:rRNA from 1 species
AAUCUACCCAUGAGUGGGGGACAACCCGGGGAAACUCGGGCUAAUACCGCAUACGCCCUACGGGGUAAAGCAGGGGACCUUCGGGCCUUGCGCUGAUGGAUGAGCUCGCGUCGGAUUAGCUUGUUGGUGAGGUAAAGGCUCACCAAGGCGACGAUCCGUAGCUGGUCUGAGAGGAUGAUCAGCCACACCGGGACUGAGACACGGCCCGGACUCCUACGGGAGGCAGCAGUGGGGAAUCUUGGACAAUGGGGGCAACCCUGAUCCAGCCAUGCCGCGUGUGUGAAGAAGGCCUUCGGGUUGUAAAGCACUUUCAGCAGGGAGGAAGGCUUACCCCUAAUACGGGUGAGUACUUGACGUUACCUGCAGAAGAAGCACCGGCUAAUUUCGUGCCAGCAGCCGCGGUAAUACGAAAGGUGCAAGCGUUAAUCGGAAUUACUGGGCGUAAAGCGCGCGUAGGCGGUGUGUUAAGUCGGAUGUGAAAGCCCAGGGCUCAACCUUGGAAUUGCAUCCGAUACUGGCACGCUAGAGUGCAGUAGAGGGGAGGUGGAAAUUUCCGGUGUAGCGGGUGAAAUGCGUAGAGAUCGGAAGGAACACCAGUGGCGAAGGCGGCCUCCUGGACUGACACUGACGCUGAGGUGCGAAAAGCCUGGGGGAGCAAAACAGGGAUUAGAUACCCUGGUAGUCCACGCUGUAAACGAUGUCUACUUAGCCGUCGGGGGUCCUUAGUGACUUUUGGUUGGCCGCAGCCAAACGCGAAUAAGUAAACCCGCCCUGGGGAAGUAACGGCCGCAAGGGUUAAAAACUUCAAAUGAAUUGACGGGGGCCCGCACAAGCGGUGGAGCAUGUGGUUUAAUUCGAUGCAACGCGAAGAACCUUACCAGGUCUUGACAUCCUCGGAACUUGGCAGAGAUGCCUUGGUGCCUUCGGGAGCCGAGUGACAGGUGCUGCAUGGCCGUCGUCAGCUCGUGUCGUGAGAUGUUGGGUUAAGUCCCGUAACGAGCGCAACCCUUGUCCUUAGUUGCCAGCACGUCAUGGUGGGAACUCUAGGGAGACUGCCGGUGACAAACCGGAGGAAGGUGGGGACGACGUCAGGUCAUCAUGGCCCUUACGACCUGGGCUACACACGUGCUACAAUGGCUGGUACAGAGGGUUGCGAAGUCGCGAGGCGAAGCUAAUCCCUUAAAGCCAGUCGUAGUCCGGAUCGGAGUCUGCAACUCGACUCCGUGAAGUCGGAAUCGCUAGUAAUCGCGGAUCAGAAUGCCGCGGUGAAUACGUUCCCGGGCCUUGUAC